CACUCCUACGGGAGGCAGCAGUGGGGAAUAUUGCACAAUGGGCGCAAGCCUGAUGCAGCCAUGCCGCGUGUGUGAAGAAGGCCUUCGGGUUGUAAAGCACUUUCAGUCGUGAGGAAGGUAGUGUAGUUAAUAGCUGCAUUAUUUGACGUUAGCGACAGAAGAAGCACCGGCUAACUCCGUGCCAGCAGCCGCGGUAAUACGAAGGGGGCUAGCGUUGCUCGGAAUUACUGGGCGUAAAGGGAGCGUAGGCGGACAUUUAAGUCAGGGGUGAAAUCCCGGGGCUCAACCUCGGAAUUGCCUUUGAUACUGGGUGUCUUGAGUAUGAGAGAGGUGUGUGGAACUCCGAGUGUAGAGGUGAAAUUCGUAGAUAUUCGGAAGAACACCAGUGGCGAAGGCGACACACUGGCUCAUUACUGACGCUGAGGCUCGAAAGCGUGGGGAGCAAACAGGAUUAGAUACCCUGGUAG
rnacentral:rRNA from 1 species